rnacentral:tRNA from 1 species
CGGGAUGUAGCGCAGUUUGGCUAGCGCGCUUGGUUCGGGACCAAGAGGUCGCAGGUUCAAGUCCUGUCAUCCCGACCA